GAUGAACGCUGGCGGCGUGCCUAAUACAUGCAAGUCGAGCGAACAGAUAAGGAGCUUGCUCCUUUGACGUUAGCGGCGGACGGGUGAGUAACACGUGGGUAACCUACCUAUAAGACUGGGAUAACUUCGGGAAACCGGAGCUAAUACCGGAUAAUAUUUCGAACCGCAUGGUUCGAUAGUGAAAGGUGGCUUUGCUAUCACUUAUAGAUGGACCCGCGCCGUAUUAGCUAGUUGGUAAGGUAACGGCUUACCAAGGCGACGAUACGUAGCCGACCUGAGAGGGUGAUCGGCCACACUGGAACUGAGACACGGUCCAGACUCCUACGGGAGGCAGCAGUAGGGAAUCUUCCGCAAUGGGCGAAAGCCUGACGGAGCAACGCCGCGUGAGUGAUGAAGGUCUUCGGAUCGUAAAACUCUGUUAUUAGGGAAGAACAUACGUGUAAGUAACUGUGCACGUCUUGACGGUACCUAAUCAGAAAGCCACGGCUAACUACGUG
rnacentral:rRNA from 1 species